GCAGACACAUUCCAGCCAAUCAGCAGCAGACCCUCCCUCCCAGACCCUCCCACCUCCUGGACAGCUCACAGAAUGAAGCUUGCAUUCUGUAAAAUGGAUGCUGUCCAGGAGGUGGGAGGGUCUGGGAGGGAGGGUCUGCUGCUGAUUGGCUGGAAUGUGUCUG